ACCUGGGGAAAGUUUGUCAAAAACACCCAGGCAAAUGCACUAAUUGCUACUGUGUGAGGCAAUGGAUAACAGCUGGGCACACAAUAGACUAAGCAAAAACUUGGGAGGAAAGGCUGGGGAAUGAGAUGCUUUGGGGAAAAAGCACUUUCAAAAGCUCUGACAUAUUUUGGGGAAUCUAGAGGGCCACUUUAAUGCCCAGGGCUGUAUGCAUGCUCCGUAAGGACCUAAGAAUGCAUAUAGUUCUGGGCAUUAAAUUCUCAUCUCUGUCUGACCUUCAAAGUUCUGCAAAAGCACGAAGAGAAGGCUAAUCGGGAAGUGGCUGCUUUCUGGUUAUG
rnacentral:lncRNA from 10 species